GGGGAUUUAGCUCAGUGGUAGAGUGUUUGCCUGGCAAGCUCAAGGCCCUGGGUUCGGUCCCCAGCUCCG
rnacentral:tRNA from 1 species